CCAGGAGGCCCUGGAGAGGCAGAAGGACCAGAAACUCAUCAGAAAACCGUGGAAGCUCUCAAAACCCAUCAGGAGUUCCUGAGCUUUUUCUUUUGGCUGGCCACCAUGCUCAGCAGAGGGGAGGGAAAAACCACUUGAAUUGUCCUUUGGGAACAAAUACACCUGACCACUUCAUCUCCAGCCUGCAGGUGGGCAGAGCUGCUGCAGAGCUCCAGGGAACAUGCCUGGAGGCCAGCAUUGCUCUUCUGGCUUCACAUCACAUAGCAGAAGGGUUUGGUAGUGACACCACACAACGACCUCAGAGAAAUAGUGUCUCUUAAUAACAGUUAAAUGGUACAAAAUACUGGAAACCAGAGUCUCCAGCUGUUACAAUGGAACACAAUGGAGCAAAAGCUGGUGGUAUUUUUUAAAAUAUUAUUUGCUGUUCUGUUACAUUCAAUGUGAAUUUUCAUUCAAUGUUACAUUGAUUUUUCUCGACCUGGUAGUUCCUCCUUUGGUUUAAAAUAAUUGCCUAACAACCUUUAAUUAUUUCCCCCUCUGUUUUGAAUACAUAUUCUAGAAGACCAUCAUUAUUAUCUAACUAUUGUUUUUGUUUAUCUUAAUUGAAACUACUUUUUUUUUUUUUUCCCGUUAUGGCUGUGGUUUUAAAAUUGCUUGUUUUCAGAAAAAAGCCACCAUUCCUUCCCACUGGUCAGGCAGUACAUAUAAUGCUACCAUGGUAUGAAUAUCCAUCACUAGGAAAGAUACAGCUGAUAGCAAGAAUAGCAUCACUCAGACAAAGUUUAAAAACUAAAGCUAGCUGAUGUUUAAAAACUAAAGCUGGCUGAUGAAGCCACGUCUUUAAAGACAUUCAAUGACCUUCCUGAUGAAACAUUGAUUUUCUGAGUUUCAUCAAUGUUUUUUCAGCAUACUUCAAGAAUAGAUUGUAACUAUCUGUAAGUUGUUCUUUCUUUUGGAAUCAGUCUCAGAAUAAUUCCUGUGAAAAAUUCCUGCUUGUAUCUUGUUUGUGAGCAGCUCACCGGGAGGUGAUAUAAUAUUUGGUAUUUUAUACAUUUUGAUGGGAAAGACAGGCUAUGUGAUACAGUUCUGAACCCCGAGUAGAUCAGGUAAGCUCUCAAAAUUAACCUUCUCAGGCAAUUAUAAUUAUCAGCUGAUAACUCCCCCAAGUAUUCAGCCUGGGUACACUGCAGAAAUUAUCUUAUUUUUCAUGCUUUAAAGAUGAGCUCUUAUAAAAACUUUUGUUUGUGAUCCAACAAACUUUAAUACAGCCCUUUGUUUGUAUUCUAACGUGUUUCUAUACCCUUGAGUGAAGGACAUGACCCCAAGGAACUCUCGUGUUUAUGAUCUGCCCGGCAGCUGCGCGCUGCUCUGGGAGGAAGGAGCAAGGCUGGGCUGAGCUUCCCCGCGUGUCCCCGUGCUGCCGGGGACCGAACUGCCACCGCGCGGACACUCUGCCAACCUGCACAUUCCCGCAAAUACGAGGAGCAAGAGAGAUUUGGGAGCCGAUCAGAAGAGCAGAGAACUGGGAACUGUUAACCAGUGAAGUCCCAAGCAUCCCUAUUUACCACAUUAUUGUACAGGAAUGAUUGACAUUUCCAUCAUAGCUGCUUUUCUGACAACGUUGAAACAUUGCUCGAGGCAGCUCUAUAGCUACACCUGUGCCCCAGACAUGAGAACCUUGGGAAAGUCGCAUACGAGGCAGCAAGAUGCAUGAGGACGACAUGAAGAAAACAUAAGAUUACUUUAAACAGAUGCAGCAUCCUCAAGGCAGGACACACCCUCCUC